CUUCCUUAUUAUUUUACUUGUAACAAUUUGUUAAUGUUUUUUACACGCCCAUUGUGGAAACCAGGUUCUGCUGACAAUGUUAGCGUGGUUAAAUAAAGUUUAUCAUCAUCAUCAUCAGAAAUCACAAGACAAAAAAAAAUUCCGCUCAGCGCGCAAAAUUUCUCCUUUUGCAUAAUUAGCGUCUACAGGACAUGAUAUUCUAUCUUUGCCGUGUUGCGCGCGAAGUAGUUAGAAAGUCUAGACAGUUUAGAAAUUGCGAAGCCGCGCAAUACACUCAUCGUACACAAAAUGUAGAGUAUUUUUCACAGGAAAACAUAAUCUGUUUUCCUGUAAAAAUACUUUGUUUAAAUGAAAAGGCUUACCAACAUUGCGAAACAAAAUGGCGA